CCUGGGCAUGGUGGUGCAUGCCUGUAAUCCCAGCUACUCGGGAGGCUGAGGCAGGAGAAUUGCUUGAACCUGGGAGGCAGAGGUUGUAGUGAGCCGAGAUUGCACCACUGCACUCCAGCCUAGGUGACAGAGCAAGAUUCUGUCUCAA
rnacentral:SRP_RNA from 2 species